rnacentral:rRNA from 1 species
AACGCGAAGAACCUUACCUACUCUUGACAUCCACGGAACUUGCCAGAGAUGGCUUGGUGCCUUCGGGAACCGUGAGACAGGUGCUGCAUGGCUGUCGUCAGCUCGUGUUGUGAAAUGUUGGGUUAAGUCCCGCAACGAGCGCAACCCUUAUCCUUUGUUGCCAGCGAUUCGGUCGGGAACUCAAAGGAGACUGCCGGUGAUAAACCGGAGGAAGGUGGGGAUGACGUCAAGUCAUCAUGGCCCUUACGAGUAGGGCUACACACGUGCUACAAUGGCAUAUACAAAGAGAAGCAAACUCGCGAGAGCCAGCGGACCUCAUAAAGUAUGUCGUAGUCCGGAUUGGAGUCUGCAACUCGACUCCAUGAAGUCGGAAUCGCUAGUAAUCGUAGAUCAGAAUGCUACGGUGAAUACGUUCCCGGGUCUUGUACACACCG